GGGCCCAUAGUAUAGUGGUAACACGCUUCCAUGGCAUGGAAGAGUCCCGAGUUCGACUCUCGGUGGGUCCA
rnacentral:tRNA from 1 species